rnacentral:sRNA from 1 species
CGCGCAAACCCACCCGUGCCCGGCAGGAGCGGGGGACCCACAGGUACAACCGCCUGUUCCGGUCUCCGGAACGGCUAGGGGUCAAGUCGCGUCUCGGCGCGACCGGGCAUCUCCAGCCCGCACCCGACAGCUCACCUCGCAGGCGCCGGAGAGGAAUU